UACGCAGGGUGCGAGCGUUGUCCGGAAUUAUUGGGCGUAAAGAGCUUGUAGGCGGUUUGUCGCGUCUGCUGUGAAAAUCCGGGGCUCAACCCCGGACUUGCAGUGGGUACGGGCAGACUAGAGUGUGGUAGGGGAGACUGGAAUUCCUGGUGUAGCGGUGGAAUGCGCAGAUAUCAGGAGGAACACCGAUGGCGAAGGCAGGUCUCUGGGCCACUACUGACGCUGAGAAGCGAAAGCAUGGGGAGCGAACAGG
rnacentral:rRNA from 1 species